rnacentral:rRNA from 1 species
UACAGAGGUGGCAAGCGUUGUUCGGAAUUACUGGGCGUAAAGGGCUCGUAGGUGGCCAACUAAGUCAGACGUGAAAUCCCUCGGCUUAACCGGGGAACUGCGUCUGAUACUGGAUGGCUUGAGUUUGGGAGAGGAACGCGGAAUUCCAGGUGUAGCGGUGAAAUGCGUAGAUAUCUGGAGGAACACCGGUGGCGAAGGCGGCGUCCUGGACCAACACUGACACUGAUGAGCGAAAGCCAGGGGAGCAAACGGG